AGAUGUAGCUCAGUGGUAGAACUCUAGCCUAGGAUGCACAAGACUUGGGUUUGAUCCCCAACACUG
rnacentral:tRNA from 1 species